CCAAGCAUACACUGUGUUAGAGGAAACGUCUUCUAAGUCUUUCCUCAUGGAGAACUGGGAAGAUGAGGGACUUGGUGGCUGUUUAAAAUUAAGCCGCCCCCUGAAAUAAAAGCCGGAGAGCUCUCCCCUGACAAGGAAGCCGACGGGAAGGAAGGUGCACGGAGCUA